rnacentral:rRNA from 1 species
AAUCAACGCUGGCGGCGUGCCUCAGACAUGCAAGUCGGACGAUUAAACUUUCCUUCGGGAAAGAUAUAAAGUGGCGCACGGGUGAGUAACACGUAGGUAAUGUACCUUUGGGUGGGGAAUAACCAUCGGAAACGAUGGCUAAUACCGCAUAAUGCAGCGGCAUCGCAAGAUGACAGUUGUUAAAGAUUUAUCGCCUAAAGAGCAGCCUGCGGCAGAUUAGGUAGNGGUAAGGUAAUGGCUUACCAAGCCUGCGAUCUGUAACCGA